rnacentral:rRNA from 1 species
UGAGGAAUAUUGGGCAAUGCCCGCAAGGGUGACCCAGCAACGCCGCGUGGAGGAUGAAUGUCGUAAGAUUGUAAACUCCUGUUAGAGGGGAAGAAUAGUACCGGUUGGACCGGUAUAUGACUGUACCCUCAGAGGAAGCCCCGGCUAACUACGUGCCAGCAGCCGCGGUAAUACGUAGGGGGCAAGCGUUGUCCGGAUUUACUGGGUGUAAAGGGCGCGCAGGCGGGAUAAAAAGUCAGUGGUGAAAUCCUACAGCUUAACUGUAGAACUGCCUUUGAUACUUUUAUUCUUGAGUUCGGGAGAGAGAGACGGAAUUCCAGGUGUAGUGGUGAAAUACGUAGAUAUCUGGAAGAACACCAGUUGCGAAGGCGGUCUCUUGGUCCGACACUGACGCUGAGGCGCGAAAGCGUGGGGAGCAAACA